rnacentral:rRNA from 1 species
CCCUUAGAUGUUCUGGGCCGCACGCGCGCUACACUGAUGCACUCAACGAGUCUCACCUUGACCGAAAGGUCCGGGAAAUCUUCGAACUUGCAUCGUGAUGGGGAUAGAUUAUUGCAACUAUUAAUCUUCAACGAGGAAUACCUAGUAGGCGUGUGUCAUCAGCGCGCGUCGAUUACGUCCCUGCCCUUUGUACACACCGCCCGUCGCUCCUACCGAUUGAAUGGUCCGGUGAAUCUUUAGGACUGUGGCUGAGGCCUUGCCUUGUGCGGGUCUGGCCGUGGGAAUUUAGUUAAACCUUACCAUUUAGAGGAAGGUGAANUCGUANCA